UACGAAGGGGGCUAGCGUUGUUCGGAAUCACUGGGCGUAAAGCGCACGUAGGCGGAUUGUUAAGUCGGGGGUGAAAUCUGAAGGCCUCGACCUCAGCAACGUAGCCUCUGAAUAGCUGGCUAAUCUCGAAGUCCGGGAAGAGGUUGGAUUCGGGAACAGCUAGGUGUAAGAUGGUGAAAUUCGUAGAGUAGAUUAGCGUAGAA
rnacentral:rRNA from 1 species